rnacentral:rRNA from 1 species
GACGAACGCUGGCGGCGUGCCUAAUACAUGCAAGUAGAACGCUGAAGGAGGAGCUUGCUUCUCUGGAUGAGUUGCGAACGGGUGAGUAACGCGUAGGUAACCUGCCUGGUAGCGGGGGAUAACUAUUGGAAACGAUAGCUAAUACCGCAUAAUAGUAGAUGUUGCAUGACAUUUGCUUAAAAGGUGCAAUUGCAUCACUACCAGAUGGACCUGCGUUGUAUUAGCUAGUUGGUGAGGUAACGGCUCACCAAGGCGACGAUACAUAGCCGACCGGAGAGGGGGAUCGGCCACACUGGGACUGAGACACGGCCAAGACUCCUACGGGAGGCAGCAGUAGGGAAUCUUCGGCAAUGGACGGAAGUCUGACGGAGUAACGCCGCGUGAGUGAAGAAGGUUUUCGGAUCGUAAGACUCUGUUGUUAGAGAAGACCAAGUGCUAGAGUAACUGUUAGCGCCUUGACGGUAUCUAACCAGAAAGCCACGGCUAACUACGUG